AUUGAACGCUGGCGGCAGGCCUAACACAUGCAAGUCGAGCGGAGCGGCGGACGGGUGAGUAAUGCCUAGGAAUCUGCCUGGUAGUGGGGGAUAACGUCCGGAAACGGGCGCUAAUAUCGCAUACUAUCAGAUGAGCCUAGGGCGGUUUAGCUAGUUGGUGGGGUAAAGGCCUACCAAGGCGACGAUCCGUAACUGAUCUGAGAGGAUGAUCAGUCACACUGGAACUUGGACACGGUCCAGCCUCCUACGGGAGGCAGCGGUGGGGAAUAUUGGACAAUGGGCGAAAGCCUGAUCCAGCCAGGCCGCGUGUGUGAAGAAGGUCUUCGGAUUGUAAAGCACUUUAAGUUGGGAGGCGGUACCAACAGAAUAAGCACCGGCUAACUUCGUGCCAGCCGCCGCGGUAAUAC
rnacentral:rRNA from 1 species